AUGGCUUCGGAGAACCAGGCUGAAGUGACCGGAAAUCCCGCUAGUCCCUUUUGGUCUCAGGGAACCGCGUCGUCUGGAACCGGGUGAGGAAGACCCCGCUGUGUGUUCGGGGACCUGAAAACUCCCCGGAGCCGCAGCCUCCACGCCGGGCGGCCUGGGAAAGUCAGCAGCGCAGUGGGGGAACCGCAGCCCGGGGCCUUGGAACCUCCCAGGAUUUGUUGACAUUUAGUGCUGUGAAUGUGAACUUCUUGUAGGAGUGGAAAUGCCUAGACCCUCCCUGCUCACGGGACUUUUAGCUGAGAUCUCCUGUUAAAGAGCUGCAGCAGUUGGGAUUCUGAGGCCUCACAUUGUUCAGUCAGUCCUGCUCACCUGGGAAUCAAAAC